UGGCUAUAAGCAAGCGGUAAGGCAAACGCGACUUUGACUCGUCAUGCGCUGGUUCGAAUCCAGCUAGGCCAGCCA
rnacentral:tRNA from 1 species